rnacentral:lncRNA from 1 species
GAAUUGCCGCAGAAAAUGAAAGGCAAACUGAAAAAUGUACAGUCUGAAACUAAAGGCAGGGCGAAAGCAGGAUCUUCUAAGGUUAUAGAAGAUGUGGCAUUUGCAUGUGCAUUAACUUCAUCUGUUCCUACAACAAAAAAGAAAAUGUUGAAAAAGGGAGCUUGUGCAGUGGAGGGGUCAAAGAAAACUGAUGUUGAGGAGAGACCAAGAACAACACUGAUCAUCUGUCCGCUUUCUGUGUUAAGCAACUGGAUUUCUUGCUCUGUCGCCCAGGCUGGAGUGCAAUGGCGCGAUCUCAGCUCACUGCAACCUCCACCUCCCAGGUUCAAGUGAUCCUGCUGCCUCAGCCUCUUGAGACCAGUUUGGACAACAUAUAAAAUCAGAUGUACACUUGAAUUUUUAUGUUUAUUAUGGUCCUGAUCGUAUUAGAGAACCGGCCUUACUUUCAAAACAGGAUAUUG